AAACAGACCAUAAAGCAGGGGAUGCUUUAGGGCGGGGCUUACUGUGAUUGACAGGUCGCUGCCUCCACCAGAGAAGUACACGGCCUCUCUACGUCACUCCUCCGCAUUCUAAAUAUGUCACUUCCGUUCUUUGGUGACAACAUGGCGACGGCUGUAAUCCAAGGUGAUGACCGAACUCAAGGCUUGACAAUUUACGCUGUGUGUCAUGGGAAUCUGCUGCUGAGGGACCGCCAAGUGUGCGCCGGAGUCAUCGGGGUGGAUGCGGUUGACCUGAAAUCCACAACUGACUGCUCAGUAAUUAUAGGAUUAUAUAAAAUGUAAUUAUUCAUCCAGUGCAGUGAGAGGUGUCGGGAUUCUUGCUACCAAAGCCGUCAAGUCAAAUCACAACAUUUGGGCCAGACGUGCGUGGCGAACCCGAAGACGGAUGCUGAAUAUUCAUUGUGUUGUUGGCCUUCAAUGUGACAUCCAUCAUGAUUUAUGUUCACGUCUGACUGCAGCAGUGUGAUAAAUGAGGUUUCUUGGCAGCUGCGUCACUUCACAAAUCAACUAUAUCAGCCCGUGUGCUUCAGGCGAGGCGAUGCCGGCUUUACUCUCUGCUGCAGAAGAGAACGGUGAGCUGAAGGAAUCUCUGGUCAGUGAAUCUGCAUCAUGCGUUUUAAACUCUAUCACAGCCUCACCUUAUUAAAAUGAGAUGUUUUGUAUUCUCGAUAGCGAGGCACGGCGCUGCUGGCCCACAUGUGGGUUUGAUUCAGCUAUCGGAUGUUGGACAUCAUGGUUUUCCUCUGAAUUAUGGAACUAAUGCUGUUAAUUAGUCAUCCUGCUUGGACGGAGAAAAGGGGAAGGGAGUGGACGGAGAUAAUGCGUGUGUUCGCCAUGAUAAAAUGCUUAUCGUUAUGAGAUAGUGGAGCAGUAGUAUACAGGCUUGUAUAAAUCACUGUUCGUUAUUUGUUAUAAUGAGGAUAAUUCUUCCCAGAUGGCCUUAUUCAUACUUGCGGGGAUGCCUGCCAACACUUCCUCUGUCAGCCGUACACUAUAUAUGAAUAUUGCCUCACAAAGUUUGUUUUAUUUCUUUGGCUUUGAUUAAAAAAAGAUUUGACGGCAGGCAAUAAUGCACACAAAGCAAACAUUUUCAUGCAAUCAGUCUGAUUGGUGAAAGAUGCUUUUUAGUUUUUGUCCACAGUGUUUGUUGUUUUAGUUAAACCAGCCCUAUGUAAACCGUAAACAUCUGAUGCGAUGGCGCUGUGAUUAUAUGAGCAGCAAUGUAACUGAGGCACAUAUUUAUAAUUAAAUUCAAAAUGUUCAACAUCCAGUGGGAUGAGGUUACGUUCAGAUUGGGCACAUGAAGGCAUGUCGUGUGUUUUCCCCAUGACAAAACACAUAUUCUGUUCCCUACAAGGAAAGGUCAUGUUUUGCUGUUUGGAAGUCUUUAUAAAGAGGAAAAAACAUUUGGUUAUGUUGCUGUUUUCAACAUGUGUUCUUCCUGUGACAUUUGACAGUUCACUCGGUAUCAAUAAACUCAAUUAAGAUGUUACUUCAAUAUAUACUGUAGUUUAAAAAAAGUUUCAUUUUCCCCCUUUAUCUGUGUGUGUGUGGCUUUGUGCGCUUGUGUGUAUGUGUACCAGCUUUAGCACUACUGAGAAUGAAAUGACAAAAAGUCAAUCUGUCUCUCUCCACAUCAUUAUCCUUAUCAUGUUGUCAAACAUCCACCAAAUUAGGGCUUUUCCCCUAAAAGACCCAAAGUUGACUCAACAUUUUUUAUUUAUUUUUUGCUGUGCCAUUGUACACAAAGCAGUGCAGGAGCAACAACACGGUAAGGCCUUCACACACCCGGGGCGUGACGAAUGGACGACAAUUUUAAAUACUCGCCUGUGAAUAUUAUAUGUCAAGGGCUUUUAUUGUGAAAGGUAAUAACGGAAAGAGUGGCUGUGGUCUGCGGUGCCUUUGUCAAGGUUGAAAGAAGUAAUAAAGUUUGCCGUCUUGAUUCAGACUGCAGAGCCUCUCAGGCGCAAUUUAACCAGUUCUGCACAACGUGAUUGGCUAAUGUCUUUAUUUGCGAUGCAUAAUUUCGCCACUUUUUCGUCUCAUAAUAUUCGUCUUCUGUGUGAAAGUGUGCAUGUCGAAAACAACACUUCGAAACCACCCCCUGGUGUGUAAAGGCAAUAAUCUUGAGUGUUUAUAUACAUCAAAGGGAUCAUGUUUCAAUUGAAUUACACUUUCUGAGAUCAGGUUUGAAUCCCAGUGAGUGUCUUACAUACUAUAAUCACUACUCACAAUGCUUCAUAAUACUUCAUUCACACUUCACUGAAAGAACAAGUUAGUUGUGAAUCAUCAGGCGGCCAUUGUAGGAACACUGAACUGGGUAAUUGUAAUGAGAAAUGUGCUCCGUUUUAAGCCGGCCUGUUUGAGGUGUUAUGUCUUAUGAAUGAAUGAAUGUUUACUUUUCUGGAUUUAACUGCAAAGUUACCAUGACCAAGACAUGCUGCUGCCAGUAUAUCAUAUUUUAAUAUUAUAACCAGAGCUGCAUGUCACUGGAAAUAUUUAGAAUCCAGCAAAACAUUUUCCGAAUUAAAAAAUGAGUCCAUGUCCCAAAGCAAUAGCUGUUCUUGUGUCUCCGUGUUUAUGUUUUCAGGCAACAGUCUAAAGGUGAUUUGAUUUUUAAUGCAACUAGACGAGGGUUGUUGGACGUUCUUUUAAAGUUGCUAUGAGGAACUUUUAACUGGUUAUGAAACAGUCUUGAUUUAAUCGUGAUGCCUCGAUAUGAACUACAUGAGUAAACAAGACCAUCAUUGAGAACAUUGGCUAUUUCUUAACGCUUGUCAUCGGUGCCACUGGUUGGGUUCUGGCGAAAUCGUGCAGGUUCACCAGAAACUGACAGUAUAACAAGGUAUGACAUAAAUACUUUGUAUGUUUUCCUUUUUCUUUUUUAUACAAAACCUUGUUAAAGAUGUUCAGCCAUAAACUCCGAGUCCCUUUCGUUCCUCCCUAAAUGAUUUCAUUCUCUGCUCUGACACGACUGCUUGUUGUCAACUGGACACCAGUGA